rnacentral:tRNA from 1 species
UCCCCGGUGGUCUGGUGGCUGAGACGCCACACUCCCAAUGCAGGGGGCCCAGGUUCGAUCCCUAGUCAGGGAA